UUGUACUCAUAUUCUUCAGUUUGUGCCAUUUGGAAACUCUGGUCUGGCCUGCUGAAUAAGUGUACAAUCCAUGUCCCACCUGAUGAUGACUCUUUGAAUCUUCAUAUGGAAAGGACAAACUACCUUUCAUAUUUCCAGCUCCAUUACAACCUGCAAGAGCAUCUUGAGAACGGAAAGUGUCGACCAGUGCGUCACACCCCCUUGCCCCAGCAGCUCACACCUCGUGAAAGCUCAGAUGAGAGUAACAGUGAUGAUGAGAGGAGUCAGUGUGGAGAUUCAACAGAUUCAGAUGGAGAGUGUUUUUAGUUAAUUCAAUAAAUAAAUCAUAAUAAAUAAAUAAUAAAAAAUGACAGACAUCUGAUGACCUACAUGUAUGUUGUAAUUGUACUGCCCAUAACUGAACUCAGUGUGAGCAGAGCUUCCAUUUGAGCCUAAUAUUACAGCUCUAUGA